rnacentral:rRNA from 1 species
AACGAACGCUGGCGGCAGGCUUAACACAUGCAAGUCGAGCGCCUCGCAAGAGGAGCGGCAGACGGGUGAGUAACGCGUGGGAAACUACCCCGAGGUACGGAACAACUCGGCGAAAGCUGAGCUGAUACCGUAUGUGACCGAGAGGUGAAAGAUUUAUCGCCUCGGGAUGUGCCCGCGUAGGAUUAGCUAGUUGGUGGGGUAAUGGCCCACCAAGGCGACGAUCCUUAGCUGGUCUGAGAGGAUGAUCAGCCACACUGGGACUGAGACACGGGCCAGACUCCUACGGGAGGCAGCAGUAGGGAAUAUUGGACAAUGGGCGCAAGCCUGAUCCAGCCAUGCCGCGUGAGUGAUGAAGGCCUUAGGGCUGUAAAGCUCUUUCACCGGAGAAGAUAAUGACGGUAUCCGGAGAAGAAGCCCCGGCUAACUUCGUGCCAGCCGCCGCCGUAACAC